UACGUAGGGUGCAAGCGUUGUCCGGAAUUAUUGGGCGUAAAGAGCUCGUAGGCGGUCUGUCGCGUCGGAUGUGAAAACCCAGGGCUCAACCCUGGGCCUGCAUUCGAUACGGGCAGACUAGAGUUCGGUAGGGGAGACUGGAAUUCCUGGUGUAGCGGUGAAAUGCGCAGAUAUCAGGAGGAACACCAAUAGCGAAGGCAGCUCGCCGGGACGGUACUGACGCUAAGGCGCGAAAGCGUGGGGAGCAAACAGG
rnacentral:rRNA from 1 species